rnacentral:lncRNA from 1 species
AGAAACAUAACCUCCUCCUCCUCAUCAGAUCGCGGCUAUUCCUGACUAGCGCUUUCUGGUCGACCUUCUCACUUGUUCUGUAUGACUUCUUAAAAAUCAUUCUGUUAGUUCUGGUGUGGUGUCGUUAGGAUAAUUGUUUCGCUCUGUUCUUUUCUGCUUAAAUAUUAAUGAUACUGAGGAAUUCAAAAGAUAGCUCCAAUAAUGGUAGCUGUACAAAAACAAAGGUGGUUUUGCUGACACUACCCCACCCUACUCCCAGGGCAUCUCUCCACUUUGGAGUGACCAAGGAUCUGCACAUCGCUACAGCACACCUCCCGUGUCCUGCACUGGGAAGUGAGAAGAAACUCAGGUCACUUGGAGCAUCCAGGCAUGAACACGUUGGUAUUAGUAAAAUGUGCUUAAACCUAAUACAUGCUUUGAUCUCCUCCCUUCAUUGCCUACCUUGGUAAAUUUUUCUAUGAUGUGUUUACUAUUCUGUGCAUGAAAUAGCAAUGUCUAACCUCUAUGCAAGGUUAGAUAGCAAGGAAUUAAAAAAAGGUCCCAGUAUGUGGAAGAGCUCUUGCUCUGCCAAGUGAAUCUCACACAGGCUGCUCUCAGUGAUGACCAG